GUUCCGUCACCGUGCCUCGUUCUACAAUUGCUCAAUCCCUCCCAAAUCCUCCUAGAUUGCAACGCGCACUCCCGAUCCGUCGUUGGACUUGUCGCUCAAAUCGACGAUGCCAGUUUCUCAGCCUUGUGCUCGCGGAGCUUGGUUUUGUUGCUCUAAAAUCAAUUGUUGUGGGGGUGGGUUCUUUCCCUAAUCCCUCAGAUGUAAUUUCGCACCGCCCUUCAAACCCUAGGCGCCACUCGAAUUUAGUUCGAGAGUGGCUGAGGAAUCCUGGCAGUGAAGGUGCUUCAGGAGUCAGCAACUCAGCCAACCACUCUUCUCAUCUAGGUUAGAAAUAAACAUGAAGUUGAGCUCAAAUGACGGAGGGGGUGUGCUUAAUAAUGAUGUUUGAAUAGCAAAAGAUGCAUGAAUGGCUUCUAAUGUGAAGGUCCCACUCCAUGUUUGAGGAGUCACCGGCAUUUCACUUCUCGUCCCUUGGUUUCUUUCCUUGUUUCUUUCGAGAGUUCACGUGAGCCUAAAGCUAUUGGUCCUUUGACCUACAUUUCAUGAUCAUACUUUUCUUUC